CUGGAGAAAGUGGUCUAGUUUUCAACCUCAUAACAGCCAUUAAAAAACUACUUGAAGAAGUAUUGGGUUCAGGAAGUUCCUGUUCAGGUUCUAUUUUAGACGGUACACUUUCAGGACUUGGAGAAGCCCUACAAAAUUUAGUCGAUUCGUUAUUGGGCGGCGGCGAUUCUGGAAAUGGUCUAAUAUCGAAAGUCAUAGAAUACCUUUUAUGCCUAAUACAACAAAUACUAGGCGGAAGCGGUGAUUUGCCGAGUUCUGUGGUUAAGCUACUGAAUAAAAUCGUGCAAGCCAUUAUAGCAUUAUUGGGAUCAGAUUGUGGAUGCUCUGACUCACCCCCCGGAACUGGCACACCCCCGGGAACGGGC